rnacentral:rRNA from 1 species
GGGAACAUACCCUUUUCUACGGAAUAGCUCUGGGAAACUGGAAUUAAUACCGUAUACGCCCUACGGGGGAAAGAUUUAUCGGGGAAGGAUUGGCCCGCGUUGGAUUAGCUAGUUGGUGGGGUAAAGGCCUACCAAGGCGACGAUCCAUAGCUGGUCUGAGAGGAUGAUCAGCCACAUUGGGACUGAGACACGGCCCAAACUCCUACGGGAGGCAGCAGUGGGGAAUAUUGGACAAUGGGCGCAAGCCUGAUCCAGCCAUGCCGCGUGAGUGAUGAAGGCCUUAGGGUUGUAAAGCUCUUUCAUCGAUGAAGAUAAUGACGGUAGUCGGAGAAGAAGCCCCGGCUAACUUCGUGCCAGCAGCCGCGGUAAUACGAAGGGGGCUAGCGUUGUUCGGAAUUACUGGGCGUAAAGCGCACGUAGGCGGAUAUUUAAGUCAGGGGUGAAAUCCCAGAGCUCAACUCUGGAACUGCCUUUGAUACUGGGUAUCUUGAGUAUGGAAGAGGUAAGUGGAAUUGCGAGU